rnacentral:rRNA from 1 species
UACGUAGGUGGCAAGCGUUGUCCGGAUUUACUGGGCGUAAAGAGCGCGCAGGCGGUCGUUCAAGUCGCGUGUGAAAGCCCCCGGCUCAACUGGGGAGGGUCACGCGAUACUGAUCGACUCGAAGGCAGGAGAGGGUAGUGGAAUUCCCGGUGUAGUGGUGAAAUGCGUAGAUAUCGGGAGGAACACCAGUGGCGAAGGCGACUACCUGGCCUGUUUCUUGACGCUGAGGCGCGAAAGUGUGGGGAUCAAACAGG